UGGUAGCAGGAAUGUAUGUAUGAGGAUGGUAGCAAGAAAUAGAGGAAAUAACAUUGAAUCGUAAUCUUUUGUCCUCUUCCAUAGCUGGUUGGAAAUAACCAAAGAGAAAGGUGGCAUGAGAAUGGAAGGGACUGGAAUAGUUUUUAUUGUUCUGCUUGCAAUUCUUCUGCUUCUCAACUAUCUGAAACAGCAGUGGUCACGCUGACAUUUCCCCCCUGGGCCUCUUUCCCUUCCUCUUAUUGGAGGCGUAUGGAGAAUUAAAUUUGGAAUUGGAUGGAAUGUAGAGACACUAAUAAAGUUGGCAGAACAAUAUGGAGACAUUUUUACUGUGUGGGCGGGACAUAUACCAGUUGUAGUUUUGUCUGGCUUUCAAGCUGUGAAAGAAGGACUGAUUGAUCAUUCGGAAGACUUCUCUGAGCGGCCACUGACUCCAUUUUUUACUACUUUAGCAAGAGGAAAGGGUGUUGCAUUUUCAAAUGGUCAUACCUGGAAGCAGCAGAGGCGGUUUGGCCUAGUUACACUGCGAAAACUGGGAGUGGGGAAAAAAAG